rnacentral:rRNA from 1 species
AUUUUCAGCGACGGAUGUCUUGGCUCGCGCAACGAUGAAGGACGCAGUGAAAUGCGAAACGCAAUGUGAAUUGCAGAAUUCAGGGGAUCAUCAGAUUUCUGAACGCAAAUGGCACCUU